UACGUAGGGGCCUAGCGUUGUCCGGAUUUAUUGGGCGUAAAGAGCUCGUAGGCGGUUCGGUAAGUCAGGUGUGAAAUCUCCACGCUCAACGUGGAGGGGCCACCUGAUACUGCCGUGACUCGAGUCCGGUAGGGGAGUGUGGAAUUCCCGGUGUAGCGGUGAAAUGCGCAGAUAUCGGGAGGAACACCAGUGGCGAAGGCGGCUUCCUGGACCGGUUCUGACACUGAGGAGCGAAAGCGUGGGGAGCGAUCCGG
rnacentral:rRNA from 1 species